rnacentral:rRNA from 1 species
CAGUCGCCGCGGGAAUACGUAGGUGGCAAGCGUUGUCCGGAAUUAUUGGGCGUAAAGGGCUCGCAGGCGGUUUCUUAAGUCUGAUGUGAAAGCCCCCGGCUCAACCCUGGAAGUGCAUUUGAUACUGCGAAGCUUGAGUGCUGGAGAGGUUACUGGAAUACCUGGUGUAGUGGUGAAAUACGUAGAUAUCAGGUGGAACACCGGAGGCGAAGGCGGGUAACUGGCCAGGCACUGACACUCAGACCCGAAAGCGUGGGGACCAAACAGGAUUAGAUACCCCAGUAGUCCCUGUCUCUUAUAC